AGAGUUUGAUCAUGGCUCAGAUUGAACGCUGGCGGCAUGCCUUACACAUGCAAGUCGAACGGUAACAGGUCUUCGGAUGCUGACGAGUGGCGAACGGGUGAGUAAUACAUCGGAACGUGCCCGAUCGUGGGGGAUAACGAGGCGAAAGCUUUGCUAAUACCGCAUACGAUCUACGGAUGAAAGCGGGGGAUCUUCGGACCUCGCGCGGACGGAGCGGCCGAUGGCAGAUUAGGUAGUUGGUGGGAUAAAAGCUUACCAAGCCGACGAUCUGUAGCUGGUCUGAGAGGAUGAUCAGCCACACUGGGACUGAGACACGGCCCAGACUCCUACGGGAGGCAGCAGUGGGGAAUUUUGGACAAUGGGCGAAAGCCUGAUCCAGCCAUGCCGCGUGCAGGAUGAAGGCCUUCGGGUUGUAAACUGCUUUUGUACGGAACGAAAAGCCUCUUUCUAAUAAAGAGGGGUCAUGACGGUACCGUAAGAAUAAGCACCGGCUAACUACGUGCCAGCAGCCGCGGUAAUACGUAGGGUGCAAGCGUUAAUCGGAAUUACUGGGCGCAAAGCGUGCGCAGGCGGUUUUGUAAGACAGAGGUGAAAUCCCCGGGCUCAACCUGGGAACUGCCUUUGUGACUGCAAGGCUGGAGUGCGGCAGAGGGGGAUGGAAUUCCGCGUGUAGCAGUGAAAUGCGUAGAUAUGCGGAGGAACACCGAUGGCGAAGGCAAUCCCCUGGGCCUGCACUGACGCUCAUGCACGAAAGCGUGGGGAGCAAACAGGAUUAGAUACCCCGGUA
rnacentral:rRNA from 1 species